CAUUAGACUCCACAGCACAUCUCUGGGUGUUCAGGGGUCACGAUCCCAGCAGCAGUCAUCAGACUGCUGCCAACAACUCCAACACCAGAGCCUUUGUCCUGAUGAAGAGACAUGGACAGGUGGAAAGACAGGCUAAGGGCGAUUUCAUUGACAGCGUGAGGAUGAGACAUCACCAUGUUGAAUCCAUACUGUGGAGAAGGAGGACACAGAUGAAGAUCACGCCCAUCAUCUUCCUCAUUGACUGGGGUUUUACAGGUUGUCUCAUUGCUGUCCUGAGGGUAAACAGGGACAUGGGACAAACCUGUCAGUGAUUGGAGACUUGAUAGGACACAACGAGUCGUGAAUUCUUCAGAGUUCGACGACUUGGCAGAGUGUUGGAUCGAGUCACCAGAGUCGAACUACAAACAUACCGAGACAUCGUCAGAGAAAUGGAGGACUUUAACUUAUGCUGUGAUUAAUCCUGACCAUUUGUGGCCCCGUGAAGGAUGCAAACAUCAGAGAAGAAGAAAAGACUGGAACAACAAAAAGAACAAGGCCAGAACCAGACCAGAUUGAUCAGUGCAGACACACCUGCAGGGAUAUUUUACGGUUCAGGUCCAUCUCUGCAGGUUCACACAUAGUCCAACAUCAUCCUCAUAGAGGCCACAAUAUAGACACAAAGUUCUGAUUCUGAAUCUCAGAGAGCUCACUUUGAGUCUGCUGGUCCUCUGCACUGAUCCAGACUGAUUCAUGAUCCCUUCAGGAUGAACUGCAGUAACUCUGGUGAUCCUAUGACUUUAGUGCCACCUUCAGGUCAAGCUGUUCAUGAGUCCAACACUUUGAGCUGAUGAAGCUCAUAUCAGCCUCAGCAGCACUUUGACUUCUUUGACAAUUAGCCCAUGUUAGCCUGUUAGCACGAUGCUAACAGACCUGAAGUCCAUCAUUCAUUCAGUUUCUGUUUGACAGCCUGUAAAUCACUUAAAGUCACAUUUGUACUAUAUAACCUGUCUCUUGUCUGAGUAUGUGUGUGUCCAGUGUGUAUUGUGUGUGUGUGUGUGUGUGUGUUGUGUAUUAUUUACCAGUGCGAUGGAAAACCU